rnacentral:rRNA from 1 species
UCUUAAUUGACUUGGUAACGCAGCUAACGCGUGAAGUAGACCGCCUGGGGAGUACGGUCGCAAGAUUAAAACUCAAAGGAAUUGACGGGGACCCGCACAAGCGGUGGAUGAUGUGGAUUAAUUCGAUGCAACGCGAAAAACCUUACCUACCCUUGACAUGUCAGAGAGCCCGAAGAGAUUUGGGUGUGCUCGAAAGAGAAUCUGAACACAGGUGCUGCAUGGCUGUCGUCAGCUCGUGUCGUGAGAUGUUGGGUUAAGUCCCGCAACGAGCGCAACCCUUGUCAUUAGUUGCUACGAAAGGGCACUCUAAUGAGACUGCCGGUGACAAACCGGAGGAAGGUGGGGAUGACGUCAAGUCCUCAUGGCCCUUAUGGGUAGGGCUUCACACGUCAUACAAUGGUACAUACAGAGGGCCGCCAACCCGCGAGGGGGAGCUAAUCCCAGAAAGUGUAUCGUAGUCCGGAUUGGAGUCUGCAACUCGACUCCAUGAAGUUGGAAUCGCUAGUAAUCGCGGAUCAGCAUGUCGCGGUGAAUACGUUCCCGGGUCUUGUACACACCGCCCGUCACACCAUGGGAGCGGGUUUUACCAGAAGUAGGUAGCCUAACCGUAAGGAGGGCGCUUACCACGGUAGGAUUCGUGACUGGGGUGAAGUCGUAACAAGGUAACC